AAAACCACAACAUUUGUUUCAUGCAAUAAAAUCCCGAAAGGUAUUGUCCGUGUUGGCUUCUGGGUGGGAAAUUGUAAGGGUUUUGGAAAUGCUGAUGCCGACUCUGGUUGGAACUCGAUAUCUCGUAUUGUGAUUGAAGAAGUUCCACCACCGCAAACUUGACUGAUGAACUCGAUGUUAGAAAAUGAUAUGCAAUGAAUUUACUAUCCCGAUGUGAUUUGAAAGUUUUCAGAAUAGUAGGCUUCAAUAGUUUUAAUUUAGUAGUUGUUGAAUGAUAUAAAAUAAUAAUUAGUAUAGUCGCUGAAUGAUAUUAUAAAAUAAUAAUUGUC